CAACUCAAAUUACAGGGUAUAGAUGUAUUUUGAUGUACAAAAAUGAAGACAAACUUUUCUUCUUUAAAAAGUAUAUAGGAGUGGAUCACACCAAUGAAUUUAGCUCAGAGAAAUGAAGAUUGUUGAAAUCACUUGACCUGUUUUGCAUUUUUGAUCUCUUAGUCAAAGCUUUGUUAAUCUCUUGAAACCACCUUUGAAUGCCUUGAAGGCUUUCAUUUUAAUGCUUUAAUUAAUAUAUAGCCGUUGUUGGUAUUGGGGGGGAGCAUUAUGCUGUACCAGAUAACUCCCCCCCCUCUGCUUGAAAAUAUACCGUUAGGUGUCGACCCAAUUCUUUUCAAGGUGUCGACACUUUGUAGGUUCGACAACUCUCUUUUAUGGUGUCGCACUUCAGUUAUCAUUGUUUUGUUUUGAAAAUGUCCUCCUCUCCUUGUGCUGAUUUUGGUUGUCGACCUUGAUGUCCCGAAAUAUCGGGCUCAGUUACUGACUUUUUGUGCUGAGUAGGUGUCGACACUUCGAUGUUCCAAACUUCUUCUUCUGGGUUGGCUACUGACAUUUUAGUGCUGAGGAUGGUGUCGACACUUUGGAUGUUUCCCUGUUGUCCCGAGCUUUGCUACUGACAUUUGUGCUUAGGAAUGGUGUCGACACAUGAUGUUCCCACUUCUGGUUUUGGCUUACUGACAUUUGGUGCUGAGGAUGGUGUCGACCACUUGGAUGUUCCAUGUUUCCUCCGAGUUUUGCACUGAAUUUGGUGCUGAGGAUUGGUGUCGCAACAUGAUGCCAGAAUGUGUUCAAUCUCUUUUUGAUCAUUUUUGGGCAUUGAAGGUCGUUUCCUUCCUUCUUCUGAAUGCAUAUAGUCCUAGUAACUUAGAUCCAUUUAAGUUUCCUUGUUGUUUGAAGCUUCUCAAUAUUUUUACCAUAAAUUAUUUUCUUGGUUUUCAGAGGUGUCGACACCUAUCAAACAGUUGUCGACACUAUUUCUUUUCAGAAAGUGCUGUGUGCUUCUUAGAGUCCAUAGAUCGCAGUGCUAAACUUACACUUAUGCAUUACAUUAACAACAAAUAUGUUUUUUUGUAUCAUCGAAAUCAAGGCUUGAGUUCAACAAUCUCCCUCCUCCCCCUUUUUAUGAUGACAAAACUUUCAGAAAUGAUGAAAUAUGUUUAGAGAUGAAAAAUAUUAAGCUAUUUGAACAUGUAUCCCAUGUAUUUUCUCCCCCUUUCUUUUGUGUAAUUUUAUACAUAUGAUUUUGUGUCCAGAAGUUAUUCCAAAAUGUCAGACACUCCUAUUAGUAAAAUCAUUCCUCAACAUUCCUAUUCCACAUUUUCUUUUUCAUACUCAAAUGCAUAUCAUUCAAUAAAAUUCCUCCCCCUUUUUGUGUCAGUCGAUCAAAAAGGAUGGUCAAUCUACCCACCCCAAGUUGCCUGAUUUUUAUUUGCAUAUUGAUCUUUCAACUUAGAGCUAAUUUUAACGCAUAAAUAUAGAAGUCAAAAGUAACCAUUGAUAAUAAUCAUGAGUCCAAACUAGACAAACUGCAUAGAUACAAACUGUGAACAGAGGAAACUAAUGCUAAAAAGGACUAACUAAAUUAGUAAUCUUAUAAACAAGCGUCUUGUUCAACAAACAAAUUCAAAGAGGGGGUGGAGAUGAUGUUGUGAGGGGCAAUGGAUAGGUGUGGAUGUGAUGAGGAUGGCGAAGGUGUACUCAAGGCUGUAGUCGCGGUGUUGGAGAAUUUGAAACAAGACGGUCGAGCCUCUGACUCUUUCGGCGAAUGAGGACGGAGAUUGCAUCAGAUUCAUUUCAAACAUCAUCCUAUUGUUGGGAUUGCUAUCCUCUUUCUCUGUUGGCCCCCAGCUUCUUCCUCAUUACCACCGCCAUCUCUUCAUUUUCUUUUCUUCUUCUUUUUCUUCUUCACUAUCAUCACCUCGUCUUCCAUAGGUUUUUCCUUUCUUCUUGCUGCACUUCCCUUGCUAAGCCUUCCUCCUAAUUUUCCCUUUUCAACAACGACAGACGGAAAGCCAUAUUAUCAAUUUUGGUAUGUAGCAUUUUCCAUGGAGUCUGACAAUUCACCAUAAAUGCAACGCAUCUCUGUUUCGAACUUUUCAGGUGUUUCCGUCCAUGGGCUCCUUUCCUUGUGAGCUACCUCUCCUCUUUCAUCUUUUUGAGGAUUUUAGAGUCCAUUGACUUCCUUUUAAUUCAUAUCCCAUUCUUUUCAAUGUCUUCUCAUUGUAUUCAAUCACUCACACAACCUUAGGUACACGUAUUGGGCCUGCCUCACUCACUAAGAUUCGAGUACGAAAGAAAUUUUGAAAAUCUUGGUUAACAGCAUAUCCAUAAGCGCUUGAUUUUCUUGAUUGUAUCCUUGUGCAUUUGAUCCAAAAUAAACAGUGCCACAUCAAUUUUUUGAGUCUUUUCACAUACGUCCCACAAAGGAACAAUUCCCUAUUUGACCAUAUUCAAACUUUCCAUUUUUAGGAAUCAAAAUUUGGCUUAUGAGUGAUGAAACCAUCCUCAAUUCUAUCUAGGGGUAACGUAUUUGGCUCUAGGUUGACAGCUAAGCUAUAAACGUUUUCCCCCUCUCCAUAACUGCGAUCAAUUGAUUUUUCCUUUUUAUGCUUUGUCUUUCACUUCUUCUCCUAGGCUAUUCCCAACCAUGUUUGAAUACAGAUCUAUUUAAUAAAAAUGUGUGGGCCCUUGCAUAACUUUUAAAACUGAGUCACUUGGAGUCCCUAGAAGCAUUUGCAUAAAAGUAGGCCACUAAAUCAGGAAUAGACCAUCGUCUCUAGUAAGUGUUAGGGCAAUCCAUCCUAGAGUGUCCAUUGUUUGAGCAAAAAUCGAAAAUUUGGUGUUAUCAAAGAAAUCGCAGUCUAUCCAAUGACCGUUUAUAACUUUCUGAGCGGAGAAAUCUAUGAUUAUACCCUCUCUAAAAGUACCUGUCUUCUAAGGAAGUAUAAGAGGGUCCACGUUCCCUGGUUGAUGGUUGACGGAUGGGAGUAUUUUUCCCCCUUUUUCUUCUUGCCCUUCUCCGAAUCCAACUCCACAGCCUUUCCUCUUUUAACCUUGGAUUGUUCUGGUGGUCGCACCACGAGAUCCCAAACAUUCUUCUUCUUUCGUGUGGAUCUCUUUUUGAUUUUGGAGCCAUUUUUUCGAGAGAAAUCAAGAGAUUUGUGGUGAAUCAAGUUUUGGAAGUUAUAGAGAGUGAAAUCCGACGGUUUUGAGAUCGUGGGAAUGGUCAUGGGUCCUCAAGUGGUUUUGGAGGGAGUUAGAGAAGAAAGGGACGAGAUGAGAAUAGGAUGGUUGAGCAACAAAGACAGAAAGAGCCCUCACUUCACUGUCUUUUAUUAACCCUGUCAAAGGGUCGACAACUGUAAUUUAAGGUGUCGACACUUGUUCGUUUAAAGUUUUGCAACUUAGUUCUUCUGUUAAAGUAUCGAUUCUUUUGAUUGAGUGUCGACACUUAUCCUUUAGACUUAGACCCUAGUGUCCUAAAAACUUUCUGUGUCGACACUUUGAUAAUGAUGUGUCACACUUCAAUUUUAAUGUAAAACACCCUGUAAGGUGUCGCACAAUGGAAUAGAGGUGUCGACACUUGGAGCUUCAAGUUUCAUUUUUGUGCCUAGGGUGGUUUAAAAAAAACUUUUCCCUCCUUUUCCUCCCCUCUUUUUUUUUUUUGUUUUUAAGAUGUGUUGCUCCAACCCAUUUCCUUAUUCAUUGGAUUGCUCAUUCCUAAUGCUCUCCUAAUAAUGCAAAAUCGAUCUUCGCGGGCCUCAAAGGUUUUGUGAAAAUGUCAGCAAGUUGUUUUUCAGUUUUAACAAAUUCAGUUUCAUAUCUCCCUUUUGUACUGCUCUCUAUAAAAUGGUAUCCUAUUUCCAUUUCUUAGUAACGAGAAAUGUUGGAUGGGAUUUUUUUGUCAAAUUUAUUUCACUCCGUAUUAUCACAUUUUUGCGAAUUUGAUCUAAUGAAAUCCAUAAUCCUCUAUUGAUGCUUAUCCAUAGCACUGUGCACGCAAACUACGGCUGCAACAUACGCUCAGCCUCCGCCGUGAUUAAUGCUAUGGAAUUUUACUUUUGCAAACCAGACAAAACGAGGUCAUAUUACUAGGGUUGACACAGCCACUUGGUCUUUUCCUAUCAAUCUUACUUCCCUCAUAUCGGCACUCGGUGUAGGCAAUAAGAUUAAAUGAUUUGUCCUUAGGUACCAUAGCCUGGUGAUUUUGGUGUUGUUUUUAAAUAUCGAUAAAAUUCUUUUUACACACAAACAGCAAUUACUGUGAUUCUUCUUAGGAUUUGAUUGAAAUCUUGCACACAAACACACAGCUAAACAUAAUGUCGGGAUCGGACUAGCAGUCAAUAUAGUAAAGAUCUAUCAUGCUUCUAAGGUUUGAAUCAACAGAUUUACCCACCUCCUUUGUCGUUAUAUCCAAUUUGGUUGAGGUGCUCCAUUGGAUAUUUGUUGGCUUUGGCAUCUUCCAUUCCGAACUUUCUGAUUCAGUUCUUAGUAUAUUUGGCUUGAUUGCAAAAAAUACCUUCCUUUGGAUUUGCUUUAUUUGUAGUCCAAGAAAGUAAGUUCAAUUCUCCGCAUCAUACUCAUUUCAAAUUCUCCCUGCAUACACUUAGCAAAUUCUUUGCACGAGAUUCUUUAGUAGCACCAAAGAUAUAUCAUCAACAAAAUUUGUGGCUAGGAGUCUUUCUUUGUUUUCACCUUGUUCUAAAGAGGGUAGUGUCUAGUUUUCCUUUGAAAUCCUUGUCAUUAGAAAUUGCUCAAGCCUUUCAUACCAAACCAAGCCUUGGAGCUUGUUUUCAACCAUACAGAGCUUAGAUAACUUUAAACAUGAUCGGGUAGUUUUUGGAUCUUCAAAACCAGGAGGUUGCUCAACAUAUAUACUUCUUCAUUUCUAUAACCAUUUAGAAAGCACUUUCAUUUAACAAUCCAUUUUGGUAAAGUUUAAAUCUCUAAAGCAUGCAAAUGCAGUAACAUUCUAAUGCUUCUAAUCUACUAAGUGCGAAGGUUUCGUCAAAGUCAAUUCCUUCUCUUGACUAUAUCCUUGAGCACCAGUCAGCUUUGUUUUCCUUACAACUAUUCCGGAUUCAUCCCUUUUAUUCUAAAUACACCCUUUUGUUCCAAUAACAGAUUGAUUUUUAGGUCUAUGAACAAGAUGCCAUACUUCAUUCCUUUCAAAUUGAUUAAGUUCUUCCGUAGCAUUGCAUUUAUCCAAAAUUCAUCAUUUUUUCACACAAAUUCACCAGCAUCUUCCAAAAAACGUUUUGGUUCUUUUGAGAAAGAAAUGCAAGAUGAUUAACAAAUAUUUUUGAUAGAGGAACGAGUUCUUACCCUUGUGAGGGGUCACCUAGGAUUUUGUCGGUAGGGUGAUUUUGCACAAUUUCCAUUCUUUAUGUAGAUUUCAUUUUCCUUCUGUUUAACUAGAGAACUUCUUGUUGUUUCAUCUCCUCUUGUUGCUUAUUCGUUGUUUUUUGAUUGUUCAUCCUAAUUUCUCUAUUUUUCUCAGCUUCAUCUAUUUCUUCACUUAUGAUCUUUUUAAUUUUAUCAAGUAUGUUCAUCAAAGUGACAUAGACCGAUUCUUCAACUACUAGGUUCUUUUAGUAAACACUCUAUAUGAUUUUGCUCUGUAUUGAAUCCCAAAAAAAUUCCUUCAUCAGCUUUUGCAUCAAUUUUCCAAGAUGAAUCUUUGUUUAUUAUUUCAAACAACAGCUGCAACCGAAACGUUUUGAAAUAAGAAAAUAUUAGGGCCUUUUGUCUUUCCAAAGCUCAUAGGGAGUUUUGUUUAAUAUUUUUCUAAAUAAAAUUCGAUUUAACGUAGCAAGAUGUAUUGCCUGUGCACAGCCCAAAAUGUGGGGAAACUAUUGUCACACAAACAGGGUGGCCUUCCUUCUUGUAAAACGCUAUUUUUUGCUUUCAACAACUCCAUUUUGUUGAGGUGUUCUAGGAGCGGAAAAAUUGUGAUCAAAACCGUUUUCAUCACAUAAAUUUUAAAAGGUUGCACCUCAAUCUCUCAUGAUCGGUUCUAAUUGAUGUUAAUUGAAUACCCCUUUUCAUUUUGGAACCUUUCUACAAAAUUUGGUAAAAGAGAUAUUGUUUUUCAUCCUUAAUGAGCUAAGAAGAAGGUCCAUGUGAAUCUGAAAUAAUCAGCAACAUAACAAGUGCAUAUUGCUUUCCACCAAGACUUAAGGUUCCUGAUGGUCCAAUAAGUCCAAUAUGCAAUAGUUGAAGUGGCCUCUUUUGUGUUGAUUUUAAUUUGUAGAUUUAAAAGAUUAAUCUAGUUUUUGUUUUUUGUUCCCAUUUGACAUGCAUCACAAAUUUUGUUCUUCCUCAAAUUUGGAUUUUGGGAAGCCCCUUUGACCAUCAUGUUUUGAAAUCUUUUUCAGGGAUGCUCAUUACUAAUAGGCCAAGUCUUCUAUGCCAUAAAGCCAACUAUCAUCAUUAUUCAUAGCAGCAAGACAUUCAAUAUUACAUGGGAUGAUCUUUAAGUGACACGUAAAUUUCCUUGUCUAUGACCAUGAGAAUUGUUUUUGUUAUUUUUUAAAUGUCUAUUACAUCACAUUUUGAGGAUUCAAAAACAACCUUGCAUCCUUUGUCCAUAGUUGACUAAUACUUAGGAGAUUGGUGUUUUAAGCCCUUUACUGCAAGCAGCACAUUUCAAUAGAGGUUAGAGUUCUUACCGAUACAACACCAACAAACAAAAGCCUAUUUCCGAUAUCUUUCCUUUACCAUUGUCUCCAAGGUGACAUAUCCUCCAUCCUUUUGCUUAUUGAUGUGAAUUGAGUUUCAUCUCCCGUCAUAUGCCUUGAGCAACCGCUAUCCCAAGUACCAUUGAUUUUGAAGAUUUUGCUUGAAAACAUACCUCAAAAAAAAAAUGUUUAUUUUACUUUUAGUACCCAAAUCAUUUUGGGUCCUUGGGGUUCGUUCUCAAUGGUCUUUUUUUCGAGACCCAUGCCUUUUUUAGGAAAUUUUGUUGUUUUUGCAUAUAGAGACAUCUAUUUGCAAUAUGUCCCAACUUAUGACACUAAAACCACGAGAUAGAUUUCUUUUCAUGAAAAAGUUUAAUUUUUGAAAGGUAAUUUUUCUUUUAAAUGGAUUGAACCGUUCCUGCUUUGUCAAGAGAGCAUUUUCUGUUUUCCAAAAUUGCUUCCAAGCUUAUCCUUUCCUCUAACACAUUUGAAUGAGUUGAUUCCAAAUAUUUAACCUUUUCUUUUAAGAUUGUUUUUCUUUUAGUAAUUCGUUGUGGAAACAUUUUCAUUGGCUGAUGUUUUAAAACUUAUUUGGUGUUUUUUAGACUAUCAUUUUCGUUUUGUAAGUCCUCAUUCCUCUUUGAGAGAUUUUUAAUUAUCUUUUUAAAGUAUCUAUUUUAAUUCCUAUUUUUCUGAAUUCACUCACUCAUUAAUUCAUCAAAUGCAUCUUGUAACUCAUUAAAGGUAUCUGGGUGUAUGAUGAAUUUGAUACCUCAUCUUCAUCCCCAAAAGCCAUGAGACAGAAUUUGCAACUUCUUUUUGGUUUCGACCCUCAUCUUCGGAUCCUGAUUCUUCUUCAUCACUCCAUGUCAUAGCUGCAUGGCCCUUUUCCACUUCUCUCCUUUUUUCUUUCUUUUUGAGUAAACGGACAUUCGGCUUUCAUAUGUCCGGGCUUGUUACAUUCAUAGCAUAUGAUUUGAUAGAUCUUUGUUAGCAAUCGGCCUCUCCCAUCAAUGCCUUUUUCCUCCUCUCCAUUUCUUUCUUCUUCAUAAUCGUUUAAAUUUGCGAGUGAAGAGCCAGUUUCUUCUCAUCUCGCUUCACUUGACGAUUCAUCUGCUUUCUUCUUAAUUCGUGAUUUGAAAUGCUACAGUUUUUCUAUUUCUUUCCCAUCAUCUUGGAUAUUUGUUUUUUGUGUGAUCUCAUGAGUCCAUAAGAACCCAAAAGCUCAUCAAGAGCUAGAGUUUUGAGAUCUUUUGCUUCUUGAAUUGCCGUACUUUAGCUUCCUUCCCAUGCUUUCGGUAGUGAUCUCAGAAUUUUUAUCCCUGCUCAAUUGUUAGGAUAUAAAAACCUUUCCAAGAGAUUUUAAUCCAUUAACAUAUCAGUAAAUCUUCUUGUGAACUUUCGGUGAUUGAUUCAUUUGUUUCAUUCUAAAUAAUCACAUAAUUAUGAACUAAAAUAUUGAUUUAGACUCUUACUUGACAGUUACUUCAUGGGUUUACUUCUAGCUAUCCCAAAUUUCUUUUGCUAAUCACACGUUGAGAUUCUAUUGUACUCAUUUGGGUCUAAUGCAACAGUAUAGGAUAUUCAUCAGCCUUAGAGUUUUGAAUUUCAACAACAUUUUUUAAGUCAUUUUCAUCCCAAGGGGAUUCGGUUUAGGAGUGUCCCCCCUUCACUUUUAUGGUUCGAGUUUUUGGGUCAUUUACGAUAAUUCUCCAUAAAUCAUAAUCUACAGAUUGAACAUGAUUCUCAUUCUAAUUCUUCAGAAUUAUAGUUUUUUUGUUCCAUUAACACUAGGUGCCUAUUUGUAGAUUGAACCCUCACCGAGAGAGUUUCCAAUUGGUUGGCCAUGGAUCUCUUCCUAGAUUUAAGCCUUAAAUAGGAAACCUUGCUUGAUACCAAUUGUUGGUUUAAUAGGCACCCAAAGGGGGGGGUGAAUUGGGUUUUUUCAAGUAUAAUAGUAAUUUGAUUAAUUAACGAUUAAAAAUAAUUCUAAAGAUAAAUCAAAAUACAAUAAUGAAUCAAUAAUGAUAAGGAAUAAGAAAAGCACACAACAACCAAGAUUUACCGAGGUCGAUCACAAUCCUGAUCUCACGUCCUCCCAAGACCUCCGCAAGAUCUUCUUCCACUAUUUGUAAUCCGCAACUACAAGGUGGGCUGAUUUCUAAGUGCUCAACUCACUUUGACAACCAAGUGGUUUUGUCCAAGAUCCACUCUCAAACUUCACUUCCUAGUGUUUUUUACUUACAAGAGGAAACACUCAACUCUUAAGUGUUUUGGCUUUUUACAAGAGAAACACUCAAAAAACUCUCACCAAGUGUUUUUUGUCUCAAGCUACACUCAAACUUACACGGGUAUCGAUGUAGUUUGAUGGUAAAAAUGACAGACAACUUCUUUAAAGUAGAUAGGAGUGGAAUCACACAAUGAUGUUAGCUCAAGGAAUGCUAAGAUUUUAUGAAAGAGCACUUGACCAUUUUUGUUUCUUUUUUGCAUUUUUGAUCUCUUACGUCAAGCUUUGUUUAAUCUCUUGAACUCACCUUGAAUGUUCACUUGAAGUGCUUGCAUUUAAGAGCUUGAAAUGAAUAGAUAGCCGUUGGUGUUAGUUGGGGAGCAUUUAAUGCUGUGCCAGAUAACUCUGGCGUUUGAAAUAAUACCGUUAUGUGUCGACACAUUCUUUUCAUUCAGGUGUCACACUGUUUGUAGUGUCGACACUUCUUUUAUGGGUGUCGACACUUCCAAGUUUAUCAUUGUUUUGUUGAAAUUGGUCUCCUUGUGCUGAUGUUGGUGUCGACACUUGAUGUACCAAAUAUCCUUGGCUCAGUUACUCUGACUUUGGUGCUGAGGUAGGUGUCGACAUCUGGUUCUUCGAUGUUUCCAAACUUCUGGGGUUGCUACUGACAUUUGGUGGGCUGGGGUGGUGUCGACACUGGAUGAAGUUUCAUGUUUCUGAGUUUUUCUACUGAUAUUUUGGUGUUGAGGUGGUGUCCGACACAUGAAUGUUCCAAACUUCUGGGUUUGGCUUACUGACAUUUGUGCUGAGGAUGGUGGUCGAACUUGGAUGUUCCUGUUUUCCGAGCUUUGCUACUACAUUUGGGUGUCUGAGGAUGGUGGGCGACACAUGAUGUUCCAAACUUCUGGGUUUGGGGGGGGCUACUGACAUUUUGUGCUGAUGAUGGUGUCGACCUUGGAUGUUUCCAUGUUUCCGAGUUUUUGCUACUGAUUGGUGCUGAUGAUGUUCGAUCACAGUAUGCCAGAACUGUGUUCAAUCAUCUUUUUGAUCAUUUUGGGCUUGAAUCGAUUUUUUCUUCUUUCCUUCUUCUGAC
rnacentral:lncRNA from 1 species